rnacentral:lncRNA from 1 species
UCCAUUUCUGUGUAAAUCUAUAUUACUCACUUUCUAUGUAAAACUUGGGCUGUUAAAAUUGGUGUUCUCCUCACUUUUUCUUAAUUUGAUUUUGCAGCUUUCACUUUCCCUCCCGUUUCGACCGAGAGAUAUUGUGAAUGAGUAGAUGAAUUUUGCCUAUUUUGAUCUUUAAUAAACUGAUAUUGCCUGUUUGGGAUUAUGAUGUGUGG